GGGGGAUAUUGCACAAUGGAGGAAACUCUGAUGCAGCAACGCCGCGUGAGGGAAGAAGGUCUUCGGAUUGUAAACCUUUGUCCUUGGUGACGAAACAAAUGACGGUAGCCAAGGAGGAAGCUCCGGCGAACUACGUGCCAGCAGCCGCGGUAAUACGUAGGGAGCAAGCGUUGUCCGGAUUUACUGGGUGUAAAGGGUGCGUAGGCGGCUCUGCAAGUCAGGCGUGAAAACUAUGGGCUUAACCCAUAGACUGCGUUUGAAACUGUGGGGCUUGAGUGAAGUAAACGUGGGCGGAAUUCCCGGUGUAGCGGUGAGGUGCGUAGAGAUCGGGAGGAACACCAGUGGCGAAGGCGGCCUACUGGGCUUUAACUGACGCUGAAGCACGAAAGCAUGGGUAGCAAAC
rnacentral:rRNA from 1 species